GACAGAGGGUGCAAGCGUUGUUCGGAAUUACUGGGCGUAAAGCGCGUGUAGGCCGUUCUGUGUGUCAGAUGUGAAAUCCCCGGGCUCAACCCGGGACGUGCAUUUGAAACUGCAGAACUUGAGUAUGGGAGAGGGAAGCGGAAUUCCCGGUGUAGAAGUGAAAUUCGUAGAUAUCGGGAGGAACACCAGUGGCGAAGGCGGCUUCCUGGACCAUAACUGACGCUGAGACGCGAAAGCGUGGGUAG
rnacentral:rRNA from 1 species